AGAGUUUGAUCCUGGCUCAGGAUGAACGCUAGCGGCAGGCCUAAUACAUGCAAGCUGAACGGUAAAUAUUGUAGCAAUACAAUAUGAGAGUAGCGUAAGGGUGCGUAACACGUAUGCAAUCUGCCCUGUACAGGAGAAUAGCUCGGCGAAAGCCGGAUUAAUACUCCGUAAUAUUGUUGAGUGGCAUCACUUGGCAAUUAAAGUCGCAAGACGGUAUGGGAUGAGCAUGCGUCUGAUUAGCUAGUUGGUAGUGUAACGGACUACCAAGGCGAUGAUCAGUAGGGGAACUGAGAGGUUGAUCCCCCACACUGGCACUGAGAUACGGGCCAGACUCCUACGGGAGGCAGCAGUAGGGAAUAUUGGUCAAUGGAUGCAAGUCUGAACCAGCCAUGCCGCGUGCAGGAAGAAGGCCUUCUGGGUUGUAAACUGCUUUUGCCGGGGGAUAAAAUUCCCAUGCGUGGGAAAUUGAAGGUACCCGGUGAAUAAGCCACGGCUAACUACGUGCCAGCAGCCGCGGUAAUACGUAGGUGGCAAGCGUUGUCCGGAUUUAUUGGGUUUAAAGGGUGCGUAGGCGGCCUAUUAAGUCAGUUCUGAAAUAUCCCGGCUUAACCGGGAGGGUGGGAUUGAUACUGAUGGGCUUGAGUGGAGUCGAGGUAGGCGGAAUUGACGGUGUAGCGGUGAAAUGCUUAGAUAUCGUCAAGAACACCGAUAGUGUAGACAGCUUACUAGACUUCAACUGACGCUGAGGCACGAAAGUGUGGGGAUCAAACAGGAUUAGAUACCCUGGUAGUCCACACUGUAAACGUUGAUUACUCGCUGUGUGCGAUAUACAGUACGCGGCUUAGCGAAAGCGAUAAGUAAUCCACCUGGGGAGUACGCCGGCAACGGUGAAACUCAAAGGAAUUGACGG
rnacentral:rRNA from 1 species